rnacentral:tRNA from 1 species
GCCCUCGGUGGCUCAGAUGGAUAGAGCAUCUGCCAUAUAAGCAGGAGAUCCCAGGUUCGAGUCCUGGUUGGGGCA